CUUGCUUCUCUUGAGAGCGGCGGACGGGUGAGUAAUGCCUAGGAAUCUGCCUGGUAGUGGGGGAUAACGUCCGGAAACGGACGCUAAUACCGCAUACGUCCUACGGGAGAGAGCAGGGGACCUUCGGGCCUUGCGCUAUCAGAUGAGCCUAGGUCGGAUUAGCUAGUUGGUGGGGUAAUGGCUCACCAAGGCGACGAUCCGUAACUGGUCUGAGAGGAUGAUCAGUCACACUGGAACUGAGACACGGUCCAGACUCCUACGGGAGGCAGCAGUGGGGAAUAUUGGACAAUGGGCGAAAGCCUGAUCCAGCCAUGCCGCGUGUGUGAAGAAGGUCUUCGGAUUGUAAAGCACUUUAAGUUGGGAGGAAGGGCAGUAAAUUAAUACUUUGCUGUUUUGACGUUACCGACAGAAUAAGCACCGGCUAACUCUGUGCCAGCAGCCGCGGUAAUACAGAGGGUGCAAGCGUUAAUCGGAAUUACUGGGCGUAAAGCGCGCGUAGGUGGUUCGUUAAGUUGGAUGUGAAAUCCCCGGGCUCAACCUGGGAACUGCAUUCAAAACUGACGAGCUAGAGUAUGGUAGAGGGUGGUGGAAUUUCCUGUGUAGCGGUGAAAUGCGUAGAUAUAGGAAGGAACACCAGUGGCGAAAGCGACCACCUGGACUGAUACUGACACUG
rnacentral:rRNA from 1 species